rnacentral:rRNA from 1 species
UACGUAGGGUGCAAGCGUUGUCCGGAAUUAUUGGGCGUAAAGAGCUCGUAGGCGGCCUGUUGCGUCCGCUGUGAAAGCCCGGGGCUUAACCCCGGGUCGGCAGUGGAUACGGGCAGGCUAGAGGUAGGUAGGGGAGAAUGGAAUUCCCGGUGUAGCGGUGAAAUUCGUAGAUAUCGGGAGGAACACCAGUGGCGAAGGCGGCGAUCUGGGAAGAUACUGACGCUGAGGUGCGAAAGCGUGGGGAGCAAACAGG